AGAAAGCAGCUUGCUGCUUUGCUGACGAGUGGCGGACGGGUGAGUAAUGUCUGGGAAACUGCCUGAUGGAGGGGGAUAACUACUGGAAACGGUAGCUAAUACCGCAUAACGUCGCAAGACCAAAGAGGGGGACCUUCGGGCCUCUUGCCAUCGGAUGUGCCCAGAUGGGAUUAGCUAAUAGGUGGGGUAACGGCUCACCUAGGCGACGAUCCCUAGCUGGUCUGAGAGGAUGACCAGCCACACUGGAACUGAGACACGGUCCAGACUCCUACGGGAGGCAGCAGUGGGGAAUAUUGCACAAUGGGCGCAAGCCUGAUGCAGCCAUGCCGCGUGUAUGAAGAAGGCCUUCGGGUUGUAAAGUACUUUCAGCGGGGAGGAAGGGAGUAAAGUUAAUACCUUUGCUCAUUGACGUUACCCGCAGAAGAAGCACCGGCUAACUCCGUGCCAGCAGCCGCGGUAAUACGGAGGGUGCAAGCGUUAAUCGGAAUUACUGGGCGUAAAGCGCACGCAGGCGGUUUGUUAAGUCAGAUGUGAAAUCCCCGGGCUCAACCUGGGAACUGCAUCUGAUACUGGCAAGCUUGAGUCUCGUAGAGGGGGGUAGAAUUCCAGGUGUAGCGGUGAAAUGCGUAGAGAUCUGGAGGAAUACCGGUGGCGAAGGCGGCCCCCUGGACGAAGACUGACGCUCAGGUGCGAAAGCGUGGGGAGCAAACA
rnacentral:rRNA from 1 species